GCCCUCUUAGCUCAAUGGUAGAGCGCGUCACUAGUAUAGGUUGAUAAUGAUCAUUGGUGAUGACGAGGUUAUUGGUUCGAUUCCAAUAGAGGGCA
rnacentral:tRNA from 1 species